UGAAGUUCAAGCAAAGACAAUUUUUUUUUCCUUUUCAGAAAACAAGAUAGUAGAAGUCCCUUUAAAGUGAUGCUUUAUUACAUCCAUAAACGAUAGAAUCCCAGUGCUACAGUAAGGCAUGUAAAUACUGAACCUGCUAAGUACUUAAUAUUAUCAAGUUUGUGCGAUUCCAGCAUUGUUUUCAGAUCAGCAACUUCUGUGUCUAUUUUUCUGUCUGUUUGGGUCAGAGCUCGAUCUUGUUGUGCAUGCAAUUCUACUACUUCUGUCCUCAUUUCGAG
rnacentral:lncRNA from 1 species